rnacentral:tRNA from 1 species
GCGGUCGUCGUCUAGUGGUAAGGCAGGUGGCUUCCAACCAUCGAACGGGAUUUCGAUCAUCCCCGACCGCU